rnacentral:rRNA from 1 species
UAAGGAAUAUUGGGCAAUGGUCGGAAGACUGACCCAGCCAUGCCGCGUGCAGGAAGAAGGCCCUCUGGGUUGUAAACUGCUUUUAUACGGGAAGAAAAAGCCCUUGCGGGGGUGUGUUUGACGGUACCGUAUGAAUAAGCACCGGCUAACUACGUGCCAGCAGCCGCGGUAAUACGUAGGGUGCAAGCGUUGUCCGGAUUUAUUGGGUUUAAAGGGUGCGUAGGCGGUUAAUUAAGUUAGGGGUGAAAGUUUUCGGCUUAACCGGAAAAUUGCCUUUAAUACUGGUUAGCUGGGAUGCGGUUGAGGUAAGCGGAAUUGGUGGUGUAGCGGUGAAAUGCUUAGAUACCAUCAGGAACACCGAUUGCGAAGGCAGCUUACUAAGCCGUUAUUGACGCUGAGG